UCCAAAGUCAAGGUGGAACAGAGAGAAA
rnacentral:piRNA from 1 species